AUUGAACGCUGGCGGCAGGCUUAACACAUGCAAGUCGAGCGGAGAGAGGUAGCUUGCUACUGAUCUUAGCGGCGGACGGGUGAGUAAUGCUUAGGAAUCUGCCUAUUAGUGGGGGACAACAUUUCGAAAGGAAUGCUAAUACCGCAUACGUCCUACGGGAGAAAGCAGGGGAUCUUCGGAACUCGCGCUAAUAGAUGAGCCUAAGUCGGAUUAGCUAGUUGGUGGGGUAAAGGCCUACCAAGGCGACGAUCUGUAGCGGGUCUGAGAGGAUGAUCCGCCACACUGGGACUGAGACACGGCCCAGACUCCUACGGGAGGCAGCAGUGGGGAAUAUUGGACAAUGGGCGCAAGCCUGAUCCAGCCAUGCCGCGUGUGUGAAGAAGGCCUUAUGGUUGUAAGGCACUUUAAGCGAGGAGGAGGCUACUUUAGUUAAUACCUAGAGAAAGUGGACGUUACUCGCAGAAUAAGCACCGGCUAACUCUGUGCCAGCCGCCGCGGUAAGAC
rnacentral:rRNA from 1 species